CCUACGGGAUGCAGCAGUGAGGGAUAUUGGUCAAUGACCGAGAGGCUGAACCAGCCAAGUCGCGUGAGGGAAGACGGCCCUACGGGUUGUAAACCUCUUUUGUCGGGGAGCAAAGCGAACCACGUGUGGUUCAUUGAGAGUACCCGAAGAAAAAGCAUCUGCUAACUCAGUGCCAGCAGCCGCGGUAAUACGGAGGAUGCGAGCGUUAUCCGGAUUUAUUGGGUUUAAAGGGUGCGCAGGCGGAGGUGCAAGUCAGCGGUCAAAUUGCGGGGCUCAAACCCGUACUGCCGUUGAAACUGCAUCCCUUGAGUGAGCGAGAAGUAUGCGGAAUGCGUGGUGUAGCGGUGAAAUGCAUAGAUAUCACGCAGAACUCCGAUUGCGAAGGCAGCAUACCGGCGCGCAACUGACGCUCAUGCACGAAAGCGUGGGUAUCGAACAGGAUUAGAUACCCUAGUAGUC
rnacentral:rRNA from 1 species